rnacentral:lncRNA from 1 species
UCACGUUCGCUUCUCUCUCCACUACAGUAUGGGGCCGGCGCCGCGCGUCCUGGAACUGUUCUACGAUGUGCUGUCCCCCUACUCCUGGCUGGGCUUUGAGGUGACGCGGGGGGUGGAGGGGUUGGCUGUGGCCUGCGAAGCGAGUGCACAGUGAGGCACUGGUCACCAGGCUACAGAAAUUCCUGGAAAUGUCCUCAGAGUUAGAACAGGGUUCAGACCAUACCCGGGUGGAGGUUCACUUUGUGCUUUUAAACGGACCAUGACUCCUCCAAGUAAGGUCCUGAUCCUAAAGUCUAAUAUUCUCUUUCCACAGACCCUAGAAAGAGCAGGGGCGACGCCAGUGAAGCUAGGUCAAGUUCGGGGAGAGGAUCAGGGGUUCUAGGGUGCUCUACAGGAUGAAAACCAUACACUCUGGUAUCUAUUUCAAAGACCUGAGAGUUUUGUCUUUUUAAACCAAGCACUCCAGUGUGCAGUAGCCGUCCCUGCGCUGCACUUAGAGCCAGGAGACAGCCCUGUAAGCCACUUAAGCCAUUUGUCCUCUCCAAAUGCCACACAGGCUCCCUUUAUCUCUGCACCUGUAGGUCCUAUGCAGAUACCAACACCUCUGGAAUAUCAAGCUGAAGUUGCGGCCCGCUUUACUCGCUGGGAUCAUGAAAGACAGUGGAAACCAACCACCAGCUAUGGUUCCCCACAAAGGCCAGUACAUACUCAAAGAGAUUCCUCUCCUGAAGCAGCUCUUCCAGGUUCCCAUGAGCGUCCCCAAGGAUUUCUUUGGUGAACAUGUU